GACGAACGCUGGCGGCGUGCCUAAUACAUGCAAGUAGAACGCAGUUGCGAACGGGUGAGUAAAGCGUAGGUAACUGCCUCAUAGCGGGGGAUAACUAUUGGAAACGAUAGCUAAUACCGCAUACUGUGAGAUGGACCUGCGUUGUAUUAGCUAGUUGGUGAGGUAAAGGCUCACCAAGGCGACGAUACAUAGCGGAACUGGGAGGGUGCUCCGCCCCUCUGGGACUGAGACCCGGCCCAGACUCCUACCGGAGGCAGCCGUAGGGAAUCUUCGGCCAUUUACGGCAGUCUGACCCAGCCACGCCGCGCGAGUGACGAAGGUUUUCGGAUCGUAAAGCUCUGUUGUUAGAGAAGCGGUACCUAACCAGAAAGCGACGGCUAACUACGUGCCAGCAGCCGCGGUAAUAC
rnacentral:rRNA from 1 species